UGCUAGAUUAAUGUCUAAAGCUUGA
rnacentral:piRNA from 1 species